UCCGAUAUGGUGUAGUGGUUAACAUUAUCGCCUCUCAUACGUGUUAGACAUGUCGCGAUAGCCCGGGGUUCGAUUCCCCGUGUCGGAA